rnacentral:lncRNA from 1 species
AUUAGCUGCCCUCUCUCCUUGCUCAGUGCUGUGCAAAAAUAAAAUUCCUACUUUCUUCCACCACACCCAGAGUCAUAGAUUGGCUUGCUGUGCAACGAGUGAGCGAACUCACUUCAGGUUUGGUAACAAUUUGGUGACCCAGAUGGGACAAUGUCUCAGGUGGACGUCUCACCUGGGGCACACCGGCCUCUGGCUAAAGGCCUCUCUUGGAAGCUGUCCUGCAGCUGCCUGAGCCCCUUGUCUCAGGGACAGCCCCAAGCGACUGGCUGCUAACCAGACGAUGUUGGCCCACGAUGCUUUUGCUUUGGUGGUGGAAGAAACUAGGUUUAGGACUCAGGAAGACGUCUCUUGACACAAUUGGAAACACUGGUUAUAUUACCAAGGCUUUGACUGGAACAUCAUAUUUGAAAAAACAUACCGGCUUAAAUAUUACAAGACAGCUUUUGAGGAAUGAAGGUUGACAUUCCGGAAUAAAGCCACUUGGAAAUAUUGGCCUGGUACUGUGCUUAUGGGUUCUGUAACCUGAAAAUCUUCUUAUUAAAUACCUUGUUACUUACUUACAUGAUACAGCCCUACCUUCAGGAGCCCACCAGCAUCACCGCCUUUUUAAAAGACUGGUUCAAUGAGAUAAAACAACCUACACCCCAUUUCAGCAGGAAGUAGCUAGAUCGGUCGCUGCCCCAAAUCCCUAAAGAUUGACGGAUGGACAUAAAAUAGGGGGAGUUGAUACCGACCCUGAUAUCAGUUUCCCCACAUUAAACCCAGCAUAUAUGGGGUUAAAACCAAAACACUCAUUCCCUGCUUACUCUCUGGCUUCCUGGCUCCAGAAUCCACUAUCCUCCAUGGAGACAGACACCAUCAAGGACAAGCACCUGGACUAGCUCCUCCCGCAAAGAGAUGCGGGCUGGUGGGAAAGCUGCUGACCAGCAAGGUCAUGAGCUCCCUCCUCUCUGCAAGUAGUCUCAAGGCCAAAGACAGGCUGGUGGGAAAGCUCCGACCAGCAAGGCCAUAUGCUCCCCCUCCCCUACCUAAAACCCCAAAUAAGAACCCUUCCUUUCAGCUUUUCGGGGAGUUUGAGAUUUGAGCAUUAGCUGCCCUCUCUCCUUGCUCAGCGUUGUGCAAAAAUAAAAUUCCU